UCUUUGCCUCAGACUUUGUCUUUUGAUAAAUGUAGUCAUGUAUCUUUCUAUGCAUCGAAUUUGACAUUGGCUAGUCAUGUAUGUAUCUUUCUAAGCAUCGAAAUUGACAUUAGCAUGGCCUGAAGUCCCAUCAGUUUUGCUACGACUUCUGAUUUACACUAAAUCACUUUCUCUCCUGUUAUUGUGAGGGGCAUGUUUUGAGUUUAACUACUUAUCAUGUCCACUUUGCGGUUGCAGCAUAUUGAUUUUCUGGCAUCAACACUUGUGCUUAGUAAAGGAGACAUGUCACGAAAGGAAGACCAGUAGUCAAACCUGGUGGAAAUCAUGCUCUGGAUCCCAAAAGGAUGGAAUUUCACUUGGCCAAACAAGUAUAGAAAACAUAACAAGGCCAUGUCAUGAUGGAUUGGGUAAUUGUGAGAUGAGAAAUGUCAUCAAAUAUCAUCUUAGUAAAUGGGAAUAGUUGCUUAAGUCAAUGUCUCUUGCAAAAAAUGCAGGGUAAGGUGGCGUACAAUAGACCUUUGUAAUCCGGCCCUUGUUGAUCCCUGCACAUAACGGGAGCUUCAGUGUACCGGGCUGCCCUUCUAAUUGAUCUACCCAAUGAAUAAAUAAGGUUUUGUUUUCAGAAACCUUUCAAAGCACAAUACUGAUUGUUGAGUAAGUGGAAAGAAAAAUAGACUAACACUUGUUAACAGGCCAGGUAGGUUGCAAAAGAACGGUGAUGGUGCUCGAAAACAGUUGCAACAUCACAUGGGAGGUGCCCAAAAUAAAUCUGUGAGGGCUUGGACCAAAGGGGACAAUAUCAUACUAGUGUGGAGUUACACACGGUCCUAACAAGUGGUAUCAGAGAGUUGGUUGUUGUUGAUUGUAGAUUUAAAUGAUGGAGGAAAAUAUGAGCAAGAUGGUGUGUUUGAAUGGUAGUAAUUAUCAUACUUGGAAAGGCAAGAUGAAAGAUCUUCUAUUUGUCAAGAAAAUACAUCUACCUGUGUUUGUAUCUACUAAACCUGAAUCUAUGACAGAUGAGGAUUGGGAAUUUGAGCACUUAUAGGUUUGUGGCUAUAUCAGACAAUGGGUUGAAGAUAAUGUUAGAAAUUAUAUUGUAAAUGAGACACAUGCUAGAAUUUUGUAGGACAAGCUCGAGACACUUUAUGCUUUGAAGACUGGCAAUAACAAGUUGUUCUUGCUUAAGCGAUUGAUGAAUAUCAGGUAUAAAGAGGGCAGUCCUAUUUCUGAUCAUAUUAAUGAUUUUCAGGGUGUCCUUGACCAGCUGUCCGGAAUGGGUGUAAAGUUCGAUGAAGAAAUUCAAGGACUUUGGCUUCUUAAUACUCUGCCUGACUCUUAGGAAACUCUUCGAGUUUCUUUGACUAAUUCUGAUCCCGGUGGUAUUAUAACUAUGAAAUAUGUUGAGAGUGGUGUCUUGAAUGAAGAGAUGAAAAGAACAUCUCAGGCCUCAUCUUCUUUAUCUUCGCACUCUGAUAUUUUGGUUGCUGAAGAGAGGAGGAGAAACAAGUCCAGAGAUUCAAAUGAUAAAGAUAAAAGUAGAAGCAAGUCAAGGUCCAAAUUCAAGAAUGUUACAUGUGACUAUUGCAACAAAAAGGGGCAUAUCAUGAAAUAUUGUUACAAGCAUAAGAGAGCUAUAAGAUGGCAAAAAAAAAGAAGGGGAUAAUGAAAAUCGUGUUGCUGUUGUUGCUAAUGAUAAUAUUCUUGUUGCUUGUGGUGAGAAUGCCAUUAAUCUUGUUUGGGAUGAGUCUAGUUGGUUUGUGGAUUCUGGUGCUACAUCUCAUGUUACGCCAAAGAAGGAAUUAUUUUCUUCUUAUACUCCAGGUAAUUUUGGGAUAUUGAAAAUGGGCAAUAAUGAUGAAUUUAAAGUACUUGGCAUUGGCACGAUUUGUUUGAAAAGUAAUAAUGGUUCUAAACUAGUUCUCAAUAAUGUCAAGCAUGCUCCAGAUGUUCGCCUGAAUUUGAUUUCUGUAGGAAGUCUUGAUGAUGAAGGUUAUGUUAAUACCCUUGGUGCUGGCCAGUGAAAGCUUACUAGAGGUUAGAUGAUUGUGGCUCGAGGUGACAAGUUGUCUAACUUGUACGUAUUUCAGGGCUCUACUUCUAGAGGAUUGAUAAACUUGGUGGAGAAUGAUACUUCAUCAGAGUUGUGGCAUAGAAGGUUGAGUCAUAUGAGUGAGAAGGGGAUUGAUAGUUUGGCUAAUAAAAAUUUGCUUUCUGGAGUAAAACAAGCAAAGUUGAAGAAGUAUGUUCAUUGCUUAGCCGGUAAACAGAAAAGAGUUUCUUUUCAGAGUCAUUCGCCUUCAAGAAAGCUCGAUUUGCUGGAGUUGGUGCAUUCUGAUUGUGCGGUCCUUUUAAAAUAAGGUCUCAUGGUGGUGCACUUUACUUUGUGACUUUUAUUGAUGAUCAUUCUCACAAACUUUGAGUAUUUCCUUUGAAGUCCAAGGAUCUAGUACUUGAUGUGUUCAAGAAUUUUCAGGCCUUGAUUGAAAGACAGACAGGGAAGAAAUUGAAAUACAUCCGUUCAGAUAAUGGUGGUGAGUAUAUUGGUCCUUUUGAUAGAUAUUGCAAAGAGCAGGGUAUUCGGGAUUAGAAAACUCCUCAUUUGAAUGGCUUAGCAGAGAGGAUGAACAGAACACUAGUUGAGAGGGUUAGAUGUAUGCUUUCAGAUGCUAAGCUGCCAGAUUCCUUUUGGGCAGAAGCAUUUAAUAUAGCUAUUUAUGUUAUCAAUUUAUCUCCUGCUGUUGCUUUUAAUGGUGAUGUCCCUGACAGAGUUUGGUCUGGUAAGAAUGUUUCUUAUGACCAUCUUAGAGUCUUUGGGUGUAAAUCUUCUGUUCAUGUUCCAAAGGAUGAAAGGUCAAAGUUGGAUAUUAAAACUAGACAGUGUAUCUUCAUUAUUUAUGGUCAAGAUGAAUUUGGCUAUUGUUUCUAUGAUCUAGUUGAGAAGAAACUUGUUAGAAUCCGCGAUAUUGUGUUCGAAGACCAAACAAUUGAAGAUUUUAACAAAGCUGAGAAGGUUGAUUCUCAGAGUAGUGAGAGCCUAGUUAAUGUUGAUCCAAUUCUUUUGACUACUACUCCUGAAGAAAAUCUUCAUGAUGAUGAAAAUCAAGUUGAUAAUAAAGAUGAUGAUCAUGUUCAGAAUGACCAGCAAGAAGUUAUUGAUGCUCCAGUGCAAGUUGAUAUGGUUAAUCAGCAAACAGUUGUUAAUUCUUUAGAGAGUUCUCUCAAACGAUCUACAAGAGAGAGAAUACCUUGAUCUCGUUAUCCUCCCAGUAAGUAUGUACUCUUGACUGACGGGGGAGAACCUGCGAGUCUUGAUGAGGCCAUGGAAAGUGAAGAAAAAAAAUUGGUUUGAUUCUAUGGAAGACGAAAUUAAAUCUUUUCAAGAUAAUCAUACCUUUGCUUUGGUUAAGCUGCCUAAAGACAGAAAAGCUUUGAAAAAUAGGUGGGUUUUUAGGGUGAAGCAUGGAGAUGGUAAUCCAAUUCCAUGGUACAAAGCUAGAUUGGUUGUGAAAGGAUUUAACCAGAAAAAAGAUAGUUGAUUUUGAUGGGAUAUUUUCUUCGGUUGUAAAGAUGUCAUCCAUUCGUGUGGUUCUAGUCUUAGCUAUAAGUCUAGAUUUAAAGGUUGAGCAAAUGGAUGUUAAAACUGUUUUUCUCCAUGGUGACUUAGAUGAAGAAAUUUAUAUGGAGCAACCCAAAGGUUUUAAAGUCAAGGAAAAAGAGAAUUAUGUUUGCAAAUUGAAGAAGAGCUUGUAUGGUUUGAAACAAGCUCCUAGGCAGUGGUACAGGAAGUUUGAUUCCUUUAUGAGUCAGCAGGGCUUCAAUAAGACUACUUCAGACCAUUGUGUUUUUGUGCAAAAAUUCUCUGAUGGUGACUUUAUUAUUGUGUUGCUUUCUGUUGAUGACAUGCUUGUUGUUGGUCAUAAUGCUUGCAGGAUUCAAAAGUUGAAGCAAGAGUUGAGUAAGUCUUUUUCUAUGAAAGACUUAGGACCAGCAAAGCAGAUUCUUGGCAUGCAGAUUGUCCGUGAUAGAAAGGCCCAGAAGUUGUGGUUAUCACAAGAGAAGUAUAUUCAUAAAGUACUUCGAAGGUUUAACAUGGACAAGGAUAAGGUUGUCAGUACACCUUUAACUAUGCACUUCAAGUUGAGUACGAAGCAGUGUCCUUCCAGUGAUGAUGAGAAGGAGGAUAUGAAGAAAGUUCCUUAUGCUUCAGCUGUUGGUAGUUUGAUGUAUGCAAUGGUUUGCACAAGACCGGAUAUUGCUCAUGCUGUUGGUGUUGUUAGUCGUUUUCUUUCUAAUCUGGGAAGAGAACAUUGGAAUGCUGUGAAGUGGAUUAUGAGAUAUCUUUAUGGCACUUCUAGUCUGAGUUUGUGUUUUGGUACAGGGAAGCCUAUUCUUUGUGGUUAUACUGAUUCAGAUAUGGCCGGUGAUGUUGAUACUCACAAUUCUACUUCAGGGUAUUUGGUUACUUUUACAGGGGGAACUGUGUCUUGGCAAUCUAGGUUGCAAAAAUGUGUUGCUCUAUCUACUACAGAAGUUGAGCUUAUUGCUACCGUUAAAGCUUGUAAAGAAUUACUUUAGAUGAAGAGAUUCUUGGGGGAACUUGGUUGUGCUCAAGAGAGGUAUGUGAUUCAUUGUGACAGUUAAAGUGCCAUACAUCUUGGCAAGAAUUCUAUAUUUCAUGGUCGGUCUAAACACAUUAAUCUGAGAUACCAUUGGAUUCGAGAUGUAUUGGAUUGUAAGUUGCUUGAACUUCAGAAGAUUCAUACGGAUGAUAAUGGUUCUGACAUGAUGACUAAAGCUUUGACAAUAGGAAAUUUUGAAGAUUGUUGCAUGAUCGUCGGGAUGGUGGUCUCCUCUACAUAGUGGGAGGGGAAGAAUUGUUGGGUUAUUGGGUUUUUUUUCCUUCUUAUGUGGAUAAAUGAAGCCCAAUUUGGACCAACCCACUUUUUCCCAUAGGGCCGUUACUAUGGGGCAUAUAUAUUGAUCUUUUUAGUUCUUAUUCACCAUUACAAAAAGAGAGUUUUCAGCAGUCAAAGAGAGAAAAACAAAGCUGAUUUUCGCACCUAAAUUUCAGCCACAACUGUCAACUUCAAAUUGCGAUUCCCGCUUCGUUUCUUGUCCGAUUGAGUUAAUUUUUGGACUUCUUGUUACUAUCAUCUCAAUAUUUGAUUAGGAACUGACGGAGCUUGAUUUGAUAGCCUGUAACUCCUGUUCUUCAUUUUCGAACAGUAGCUGCAUUUUUUGUGCUUUCACUCCUUUAUUUCUCUAGUGUUUGGUGUUGUGGUUUAUGUAUUAUUUCUUGUUGUUUAGCACUUGUUUGGUGGAAAUUUUGGAGGACAAUAUUGUAACUCUUUGGUGAUUAUAGUGGAGGCUUGGUCCCGUAGUUUUUUACUCUUCACACCGAAGGGUAUUUCACGUAAAUUUGGUGUCUUGUGUGAUUGCCUUUAUUCUUGCCCUAUCGUAUUUGUGUGGUAAUUCAUUUGCUACCAUAUUACUUUGUUUUGCUUGAUUUGCUUGUCUCCUCUUAGUUCAAGUUGAAAGGGAAAGUUUAGUCUUGGGUAUUUUCCGCUGCUACCCUGUCGGGCUCUUUGAUUGUGUGCCCGUCUUUCCUAACAAGUGUAGGUCUCAUAAAAAAAUAAGGCAACUAGAGGUGUUUGAAAAUAUAUUAGAUCUAAAGCUUCGAAUAGAACGCAAAAGUUUGUACAGAUUGUUAGUUAGAUAUGUUGAGAGAGAAUUUUUUUAACACAUCCAGAUUUGCCUCUUUUCUAGGGGAUGUGAUUGGAUAGAACAUCUCCUCCUCAGAACAUCUCCAUAGAGAAUGACCAUUGCUGGGACAGGAUUUUUUCAAGAGCUUGUAAUGACUGAAACAUGUCAGUAGUAACUAAUAAGUCAAUUAUGUCAAUAAAACACAAGUUUGAUUGUAUAGAACUUGAUAUGCAUGGUCGAGGAAAAAAAUUGAAAUAUUCACAAUAAAAUUGUAUGUUCUAUGUCCUAGCGGAUACACCUGACAAAUGGUCAGAAGUUUCGCCAAAAAUUAAAUAGAACCUAUAGCCCUUCUGGAGGUACUUGGUUGAACAACAGUGCUGGAAGUUUGUCCUAAAGAAUUCGACGAAGAUUGAUGUUAUUAUUGUUGGGAAAAAAAUCGACUAUUUUUCCCACCGCUUUCGUACCUCUUUCAAGCAUAAAAUAACAGAGAAAUUAAAGAGAAUAACAACACAAAGAUUUAACGUGGAAAACUCUCCAAUUGGAGAAAAAUCACAGGCCUCCCAGAAAAAUAUUCACUAUAUGAAAAUUAUUAUACCAUACAAUACACAUUAUUUUUCUCACACACCCUCACUUCGUAAAAUACUAUUCUCGAAGAGAUCUCCAAGAGAAUUAUCUCUAAAACUCUUUAAUAGUAAACAAGGAAAUAAAUAUUUUUUUUUAUUUUUUUUUUGUAUCUAUCAACAAUGAAGGAGGUGGAGUUUAUUUAUAACUCGCAAAACCUCCUCCCAAACAAAGGAAAUUUUUGAUGUGGGAAGCAAAGGAAUAGAAUCCUUUUUUUGACUUUUCUUUCUUCAAAAAACCAAUUUCAACAAAUCUCCACCUUUUGAAGAGAAGAAAAUGCAAUCUAUUGGCCCUUUAUAGUUGUCCAGCUACACAUAACAAAAUCAGUUCUCCUCCUGACUCUAAACUCGGCCAACCAUGUGUAACUGCAACUUUCACAUUGUAUGCUACUGAAAAUCAUAAUUCUAAAUUCAAGAAUUAUCAUACCCCCACUAUAAAGAGUACAUCCACUCAGAUUGAAAAACCAAUCCAAGAAUUUUCACUUGAAAUCACUUCCUAAUUUCAAGAAUUUCAUUUUCAGCACAUGUCGAAAAUCUUGCUAAUAAUUUAUGGUGCAACCCUCUUGUUGAUUUCUUGAGAGUUCAUUAUCCAUCAACAUCCUUUCCACCACACACCUUGCAUCACCUAUCAACCAAUGCCCAGAUGCAAACUUGUGGACCAGCUACCAAUUAAACAUCUUCUUCCAUGGCAAUUCUAAAGGUAGCAUUCAUGCCAUAAGGAUUUUUAUCUUUCUUACAAAGAAAUAUCAUCCCCCUAUUCUAGGGAGACAACAUUGGCAGCAUUUUCUUUAGAGCUUCCAUCCGAACUAGCCCUAUUAUUUAGACAUUCAUUUUUAACAUGUCCCGGUUGUUUACAAUUCCAGUAGAUGACCUUCUUCUUAGAGCUUUGAUUCCAUUUUUCUUUAACAAUAAGAGCUGAAUCUUCUAGAGAUUUUUCCUCUCAAUUUUUCAAUCUUUUUUCCUCAGAAAUCAAUUUGCUUAUCACUUUUGAGAAAAUCACAGUUUCCUUCCCAUACAUUAAAAUGGGUUGCAUAUGCUUGUAGGAAGAUGGAAGAGACCAGAUGAGUCGAAGUGUCUUGUCUUCAUCAUCAAUUUUUACUCCAAUAGAUUCCAAUUCAGAAACAAUCUCAUUCAAGACACUCAGAUGAUCAGAAAUAGUUGUACCUUCAGCCAUUUGCAAUUUAUGAAAUUGCUCCUUCAAAUAUAACCUAUUUGAAUUAAUUUUGGCUUGUGGUAAGUGCAAGUCAAGGAUGUGUUAAUCCAAUAUGGAUUACACAAGGCAUUGAAAGGAAGACCAACAAGCGGAAAAGGUGAUAAGGGUUUAGAAAAAUCUGAAAGCAGUAAAGACUCAGAAAAAUCCAAAAUUAGUGAUGAAGAAUGGGAAGAGCUAGACAUGAAAGCGGCAAGUCAAAUUCGCUUAUGUUUAGCUAAAAAGGUUGGGAUUGUUGAGAAGCAAACACAAUCCCACAUCGAAAAAAUAAAAGGAACAUGUCCAAUAUUUAAAGUGUCACCCAACUCUACUAGUAUGAGGCCUUUUGGGAGGUGCCCAAAAAUAAAUCCGUGAGGGCUUGGCCCAAAGAGGACAAUAUCAUACUAGUGCGGAGUUACACACGGUCCCACCAAGUGGUAUCAAAGCCCAGAUUUGGGUGUGCGGAUGUGUUGGAGUGGUGACUGCAGUUGGUGUGAAGUUCCCGGUGUAAUGACAAGACUAGAGAUCUGCAGGUAGUGCCUUGUGUCGAAAGUCUUCCUGGCGAGUAGUGGUCAGGCGGCGUGUCCCGUUGGGUGAUAACGGCGGUACAAGAUGUUUGGCAGAUCAUGUGAAGUGACCUAGUAGUUGAGAUCUACGGUUGAUGCCUCCUGUCAAAAGUCUUCUUAACAAAUGAUGGUCAAGCGGCGUGUUCCACUGGUUGGUAGUGGCGUUACGGGGAGGUCACAAGUGAUGUGGUCUUGGUUUGAGGGGGGAUUGUUGAGAAGCAAACACAAUCCCACAUCGAAAAAAUAAAGGAAACAUGUCCAAUAUUUUAAGUGUCACCCAACUCUACUAGUAUGAAGCCUUUUGGGAGGUGCCCAAAAACAAAUCCAUGAGGGCUUGGCCCAAAGCGGAUAAUAUCAUACUAGUGCGCAGUUACACGCGGUCCCAACAAUUAUCACUACAUACAAUUGCUUUUUUAUCUGGUUGAGAUAGUAGCAUGAUAUCAGAAGCUUUAUUAGAUGGUGUCCUUUAAACCAUGACGUACGUUCAAACAUGCAGUUUUGCUACAUUACUACUUCCGGUUUAUGCUAAUAUUCUUGUAUCCAACUAUUUAGAAAGCAUAAAGAGACAAUUAAUCAAUUUGACACAUAGAAAGGAUAGUCCUGAUCUUGUUUAUGUUUUUGACAUUCUUAUCUUACGUACCAUCAUUUUUUUUGUACAAAACCUCGCCUCGCAUUGGCCAGCCUACUUCUUGGAGGUCUAUUGCCACAGGCUUCAUAACACCAUAGUCACUUCUAGAACAAGAGCUCCGACUCAUCUCUCUAGGGUUACAUCCACCACAGUGUAUUCCCGUUCCCACCACAACUCUUCCUCUUGAUCUCUUAUUCUCCAUCUCGUAUCUUUGUACUCUUUUCCUUAGACUUUGUCUUUUGAUAAAUGAGCUCAUGAAUGUAUCCUUGUUAAGCUUUCUAUGCAUCGAAAUUGACAUUGGCAUGGCCUCAAGUCCCAUCAGCUUUGCUACGACUCCCGGUUUACACCAAAUCACUUUCUCUCCUCUUAUUAUCGGGGGCAUGUUUUGAGUUUGACUACUUUUCAUGUCCAUUUUGCGGUUGCAGCGUAUUGAUUUUCUCGCAUCUUCACUUGUGCUCAGUAAAGGAGACAUGUCGCGGAAGGAAGACCGGUACAUGGCAUCUUUGCCAUCAAGGGAGAAUCGGGGAUACUGAUUUAAAGCGUUCCUUGCUGUUCUUAGAAUGUCAGAACUGUUGACACAUGACAUUCUAUGCGGGACAUGCGGCUCAUAUUCAUUAUUCAGCUUUGUCAUAUUCUCCUCCAUGUCUAAUCGGAGCAACAUCUCCUCCAAUGUUGUCUGGCUUCCCCUUUCGUUUAGCCUUACAUCACUAGUACUGUCCAUGAUGUAAUUAGGAGAUGAAACAGGACGGGUAGAGGUUGCGGUUUGAUGAUCGAGUGUGGAAGUAGAGGUAUCGUUAUUACAGAAGCUUUUAAAACCUUUCCUCAUCUUGGCUCCCAUGACAUUUUUCAGCUGAAAGAAAGAUAAUUCCUUCAUGUUUUCCCAAGCUAAGGGAUUAUUGUUUCAAGAAUAUAUGUGGGUCUCUUUAUUUUGAAAUGAAUGAAUUCAAACGUAGGUAAUUCAUAAAGAAGACAUGCAAGGCAUGAAUGAAGUAAAUAGCAAGCGGUGUUAGGUUGCUUUCUCAGUCUUAAAAGCA
rnacentral:lncRNA from 1 species